rnacentral:lncRNA from 1 species
UCUGGAAGGUUUGCAACUGUAUAUGUGUAUUAUUUCAAAUAGGUUAUAGACGUGUAUUAUUUCAAAUAUGUAUUUAAUCACAGUUUUGAUUUUUCAAACUAAACCAUUGUCUCGCCAGCAAUUUCCAAAAAAUCACUUUUUAUGCCCCAUUUAUGGGCAUUAUGUUUUCUGGUCUGUGCGUCCGUUCGUUCGUCUGUCUGUCCCAUUCAGGUUAAAGUUUUUGGUCGAUGUAGUUUUUGAUGAAGUUGAAGUCCAAUUAAUUUGAAACUUAGUACACACUAGAACACACCCGUACGUGAUAUCGCGGGUCCGUGACUGAAUUAAAGUUUAUAACUAUGCGUACACCUUAUUUUAGUAUUGGGAUUGUCAUCUGAUAAAGUCAUGCUGAUUAUAAGAUGCACAGUGAUCUCUGCUUUCAAAAUCUUUCUGUUUGAACCCGUCGACCUGGAACUUUUCAUUUGUUGGUAAUAUUAAUUAUUUGGAAAACAAAAGGUCCUGGAAUGGAGUAUUUUUUAAUCAACAGCAUUGUCCUAUAUUUAUUAAUUUAGUUAUAAAUAAAGUUGAAUUCUUUGAUUCACUGUUUUAUGUCAUGCCCGCUUACAAAUUGAAAACUGUACCUAUACGCCAUAUUUUAAGUCCAGAUUUUUAGUAUUCGUAUUGUCAUCUUAGAAAGUCUUACUGCUUAAAAUACUACAAUAGGGAACAAUUUGACAAUGAUUGAAUUUAGUAGUGUCAAUCCUGUGAUUAUGACCCGUGUAUAUGGCAAAAUAUGUGGUUAUGACCCGUGUAUAUGGCAAAAUCUG